UUCAUUUUACAAAAUAUCAUAGAAGGACUUUCCUCUCUCUCUUUCUCUCUCUAUCUUGCUUUCUCUGUCUUCAUCUCACCUCCGAUUCACCAUGUUUACAUGGUAUCAGAGCGUGGUUCUUUCUCUCAGACAUACUCUCUAUCUUCCUGGUUCCUUUGGUCUGAGUUCAUCGCAUUAUCGGUGGUAGUUUCUGGUUUUUCAAAGUUGUUGGUGAAGAUUCUGGAUUUUUUGAUAUUUUGGUGAAAUCGGAGUUGCUUCGUUAGCGAUUCUUCCAGCGAGGUGUUAGGGUGAGUUUCCGACACCUAUUGUGCAUCAUUCCACCGGUUUCUCUCCAAGUUAGGGUUUCUCUGCAACAAAGCUAGGGUUUCUCUGCAAUUUUUUUUGAAGGCCGUGUCUUCUCCGGUUGCGUAGAAGUCUGGUAACCCUAUUCUCACUCUCGAUUAGAGUUUGCAUGUGUUCUGUUGCUGAAAUAUUUGUUGUAUUGUGUAGCACAUAGAUAUUGUAUCAAUCUCUUCUUAUCCUUGUUAUUCUGUUUCUGAUGGCGAACAUGAACCCUGUUAAUUCCUCACCCAAGUUAGCGCAUAGAUAUUGUAUCAAUUCCUUCUCAUCCUUGUUAUUAUGUUUCUGAUGGCGAACAUGAACCCUGUUAAUCCCUCACCCAUUGACCCUACAAAUCCUCUAUUUGUUUACUCUUCUGAUGUCCCCGGUGUUUCUCUUAUUCCUAUUCCUUUCUCGGGUAGUGGCUAUGGGGGUUGGAAGAGAAAGAUGAUAGUCGCCUUGUCGGCUAAGAACAAAAAUGGUUUUGUUGAUGGAACUUGUCCUAGACCAAACACUAACCUGGCUGAACAGAGAUGACGGGAUAGAUGCAACAAUAUGGUCAUCUCCUGGUUGACUGCUUCUCUGUCUCCUCAAAUUGCUGAGAGUGUUCAAAACUCUGAGACUGCACAGAGUAUAUGGGCACAACUCGAAGCCAGAUAUGGCACAACCAAUAGGACCAAAAUUUUUGAACUUAAAAGAGAACUUUCUCACACUUCUCAAGGACCCCUAGAUAUAGCAUCAUAUUUUAACAAACUCAAAGGGUAUCCUCAAUUUAUAGAAGUCCACACCUGAGACUGCACAGAGUAUAUGGGCACAACUCGAAGCCAGAUAUGGCACAACCAAUAGGACCAAAAUUUUUAAACUUAAACGAGAACUUUCUCAUUCUUCUCAAGGACCUCUAGAUAUAGCCUUCUAUUUCAACAAACUCAAAGGGUUAUGGGAUGAGUUAGGGACAAUGUGCCCAAAUCAUGGACAGAGAUGUAUCUGUGCUGCCAAACCUGGCAUUAUAAAGGAGGAUGAGGACAAUAAGGUGUUUCAAUUCCUCAUGAGUCUUAAUGAAACAUAUAUGGGGGUGAGGAGCAACUUGUUAAUGAUGCAACCUCCUCCUAGUCUUGACAGUGUCUACAACGUCCUCCUCAAUGAUGAAAAAUAGAGACAAGUUCAGUUUGUCUCCGAGUUUAAUCCUGACUCUAUGUUCUUCAGUGUCAAUACACAUAAACCUCCUACACCUCCUUUCAAUCAAGCUGCCUUGCCCAAUUCUCCUCCUCUCAGACAGUAUGCCCAGAGAGUUGCUUUUGAUCAGUCCAGAGGACCCCUCUUCUGUAGAUAUUGCAAGAAGUCUGGGCACUUAAUUGAUAAGUGCUACAAACUUCAUGGAUUUCCUCAAAGCAUCAGGUUUAACAAAGGGAAGAGACCUACUGUUGCCCAUGUCACCACUGGUGUUGAUUUCACAUCUUCCCCUUCUUCUGAUGGUCACAAUUCUCCUGCUUCUGGAAAUCAUACUGAGGGUUAUUAACCUGUCCAACAUGUAGAUGGACAUAGUUCUGUUAUUCCUGGAUUGAGCAGACACCAUUAUGAUCAAUUGAUGAAUCUGCUCCAACAGUCCAAUUUGGGUGACUCCACUGCUCAGACUUCUCCUGCUCAGACCUCCAUUAUGAUCAAUUGAUGAAUCGUCUGCAACAGUCCAAAUUGGGUGACUCCACUGCUCAGACUUCUCCUACUCAGACCUCUCCUACUAUGUGUGCUGCCAACUUUGCUGGUACUAUGCUUACUGAGAGUCCUGUUUCUAAUUCCAAACUCGGUCUACUUACUCAUAUUGCUUCUGUCUCCUGGAUAAUAGAUUCUAGAGCUUCUGAUCACAUGACAUCUAAUAAAUACUUACUCUUCAAUAUCACACCUUUUCUUGUACCUUAUCUUGUCACUCUUCCUAAUGGAUACAAAGUAAAAGUAACUUCAACUGGCUCUAAUAUCACACCUUUACUUGUACCUUAUCUUGUAACUCUUCCUGAUGGAUACAAAGUAAAAGUGACUUCAACUGGCUUUUUUGCUUUAACUCCAUCCAUUACUCUUCAUAAUGUACUGUUUGUUCCAUCUUUCAAACACAAUUUAAUUUCUGUCCACAAGCUAGUGAAACAUUUACACUGUAUUGUUCUAUUUACUGCAACUUCUUGUUUCCUUCACAUGUUACAUGCCCCUUCUAUGAAGAUGCCUCUGGAUCUUGGUAAAGAGGAUGCUGGUCUAUACAAAUUUGCUUGGGUGCCUCCUUCAACUUCUUCUGUUAAUUGUUCUUCUUCCACUUCUGUAUGCUCUAAUAAAGAUUCUUGUACUCUUGAUUGCUCUUCUGAUCUAAAUCUUGUUGCUUUACAUUCCAAUGUAAACAGUUCCAUUUGUCAUUAUAAAAUUGAUAAUAAUGACAUGAACUACUGGCAUUUAAGACUGGCUCACAUUCCUUUUGCACACAUGAAACACAUUUCUGCUUUAUCUUUUCCUUUUGCUUCUAAACAGCCUUUUCCCUGUUCUGUUUGUCCCAUGGCUAGGCAAACUAGACUCUCUGAUCUAAAUCUUGUUGCUUUACCUUCCAAUGUAAACAGUUCCAUUUGUCAUAAUAAAAUUGAUGCUAAUGACAUGAACUACAUUUGGCAUUUAAGACUGGCUCACAUUCCUUUUGCACACAUGAAACACAUUUCUGCUUUAUCUUUUCCUUUUGCUUCAAAGUAAUGCUUUCAGCCUUCUUAAGUCCUUUCUGUGUAUGGUCAAAACCCAUUUUUAAUGCCACUAUACAAACAGUCAGAAGUGAUAAUGCCUUGGAAUUGGGGUCUAGUCUUGCUAGUGUUUCUUUCUUUAAUCAACAAGGCAUCAUUAAUCAAACUACCUGUCCUCAUACUCCUCAACAAAAUGGUGUUGUAAAAAGAAAGCAUAGAACCCUCCUUGAAGCUUGUAGAGCUUUACUUUUUCAAUCCAAAUUACCUCUUCAUUUUUGGGGGGACUGCCUAUUGACUACCACCUAUUUGCUUAAUAGGAUUCCCUCCAGACUUCUUCACAAUAGAUCUCCUUAUGAAAUAUUGCAUGGCCAAGCCCCUACUUAUUCUCAUUUAAGGGCUUUUGGCUGCUUCACAAUAAGUCUCCUUAUGAAAUAUUGCAUGGCCAAGCCCCUACUUAUUCUCAUUUAAGGGAUUUUGGUUGUCUUGCCUAUGCCAUUAUACCCAUUCCACAAAGAGAUAAACUUAUACCUAGAGCUCUAUCUUGUGUUUUUCUGGGAUAUCCCUUUGCCAAAAAGGGCUACAGGCUGUAUGACCUAACUACUAAGAAGUAUUUUGUGUCUAGAGAUGUUGUUUUUCAUGAGACCUGUUUUCCUUUUGAAUCUGCUUCUUCUGUUCCUCAGGCUGAUUCUGUUUUUCCUCCUCCUCCUGUUCCUUCCUCUGAUGUUCCCUGUUCUGAUUUUUUCCUGGCUACUUUCCCUGCUUCUUCCCCUUCUGCUUCCAGUCCUGCUUCUACAUCACUACCUUCCUCCCUUUCCUCUCCUUCUGUUCCUCUUCCUGUUGUUCCUCCUCCUCCUAUCACUCCUUCUUCUUCUGUUGUUCCUACUGGACACAGAAGAUCUGGCAGACCACAUAACCUCCCUCUUAUUUCAAUGAUUAUGUUUGUCACUUGCCUUCCUUUUCUGGUUCCUCCUCCUCCUCUUCUCCUUUGGAGUCUGAACCCCUCUUUUAUUCUCAAGCUGCUUCAGUCUCAGCUUGGCAGGAUGCCAUGAGCAAGGAGUUUUAGUCUUUGGAUGCCAACCAUACUUGGGACAUUGUUCCACUUCCUUCUGGAAAAAAGCCCAUAGGAUGCAAGUGGGUCUAUAAGAUUAAAUAUAAAGCUGAUGGCACUAUUGAAAGAUAUAAAGCUAGGCUUGUAAUUAGGGGUGAUACUCAAAUUGAAGGUAUUGACUUCACUGAAACAUUCUCUCAUGUGGUCAAGCUGUCUACUGUUAAGUGUCUGAUUGCUGUGGCUGUUAAGAAACAUUGGGGUCUUUUCCAACUUGAUGUCAAUUUGUUAAGUGCCUGAUUGCUGUGGCUGUUAAGAAACAUUGGGGUCUUUUCCAGCUUGAUGUUAAUAAUGCUUUUUUGCAUGGUGAACUUGAUGAGGAGGUCUAUAUGAAGCUUCCACCAGGUUUGUGUGUUUCUGCCCCUUCUGGUCCUUCUGCUUCUGCCCCUCUUGUGUGCAAAUUACAGAAGUCCCUUUAUGGCCUGAGACAAGCUUCCAGGCAAUGGUAUGCCAAGCUAUCUCAGGCCCUCUACUCCAGAGGAUAUGUUCAUUCUAUGAAUGACUAUUCUUUAUUUGUCAAGGGUCAACCUGGGUGUCGUGUGGUCCUGGCUGUGUAUGUAGAUGAUAUUAUUAUCACUAGGGAUGAUGUUGCUGAAAUUUCUGCCCUCAAGGCCUUCCUGGAUGCUCAAUUCAGAAUCAAAGACCUUGGGUCUUUGCACUAUUUUCUGGGUAUUGAGGUGUCCUCUGUUGGGAUGAUAUUAUUAUUACUGGGGAUGAUGUUGCUGAUAUUUCUGCCCUCAAGGCCUUCCUGGAUGCUCAAUUCAGAAUCAAAGACCUUGGGUCUUUGCACUAUUUUCAGAAUAUUGAGGUGUCCUCUGUUGCUGGUGAUGUUGCUGAAAUUUGUGCCCUCAAGGCCUUCCUGGAUGCUCUAUCCAGAAUCAAAGACCUUGGGUCUUUGCACUAUUUUCUGGGUAUUGAGGUGUCCUCUGUUGCUGGUGAUGUACUUCUUAAUCAGCACAAAUUUAUUUCUGACUUGCUGCAUCAGUUUGACUGUAUGGCUGUUUCCUCUGUAGUCUAUCCUAAUAGGAUGAUUGAAUUGUGUUUGCGUACAAUAGUAAAACAACAAAAAGGCUCAAAAUAAUCGGGCAGAGGUGAAUCUUCCCGGGGAGGGAAGCAGAAAAUUAUCAAACUCACUCUCCAAGUAUGAGAACACAUUAAAAGAACAAGAAAGUUGAUGAAGGCUACUGAUAGAGCCACUGACAUGCUAGGGAGUGAGUACGAGCCCUCCCGAGAGAUCUUCUUAGACUCUGUGCCCAAGUUCAUGCCUAACUAGCCGGAGAGGCAUAAACUUACAGACACCACUCCUCCACCAUCACCCACUCCCCAAGCACAAACAUAUAUGAUUUCUGAGUCGUACAAGGGCUCAGCAACAGGUAGUGAGGAAUAAUCUACCUUUCCCACAGCUUCUUUAAUUGGAAAGGGUAGAGGAGGAGAUGAGAAGGAGAGGGAGAUGAGGAGGUAGCUGAAGGAAAUGAGCCUCAAGUGGGAGGCAUUACCAGAAUUAGAAAUCCAGAAGUUUGGUAAGAUAGAUUCGUCACUGAGGUAGCGUACCACAAAUUUUGGGAGUGGUAGCCGGUGAGAAAACUGAUUCCGGAGAGGAGCUUCAUUGAUAGAUACUUAAUACACCACAACACUAACGUGCAAAGACAAUUCAGAACUAGAGCGAAUUGGGAGCAUUUUAUGGAUGACUGUCUGGACGCCAACGAACACUUGGUCAAGGAAUUCUACUAUAAUGUAGCCCACAUCCAAAAAGGUUCCAAAGUGACCAAGGUUCAAAAUUUAAAAAUGUUGUUUGAUGGGAAGUCGAUCAAUGAAUACCUGGGCUUCAAUGAGGAGGAUGAAAACUUGUACCAGGUGAAGAUGGAAAUGGGCGAGGAAGUACGUCCAUGGUUAGCACAGUACCUGGCAAUCCCAGGUAUUGUCCUCGAUUAGUUGACUGCUGGAGUGAAGAUAUUGAGAAGGAGCUUGAAUUUCAUGGUUAAUUGUCUAAUUAGUGGUUGCAAAUACUAGUUUGUGUUUAGUUGACUAGGGUUCUUCUUGAGAAAGAGAGCAUCAGUCUCCGAAAUUGAUACCACAAGGAAUUGAGACGUACUCAAGAGAUUGAUAUCCCCAAUUAAAGAGUUAAACCUCGAGAGAAUAAUACCCAACUUGAACCUUAGUUGCUUGUGCAAAUCUGCAUACCCAAUUGGUCUUGGAAAAGUUAAUUGAGCAAAAUCACUUGAACCACCGGGAGGUAUAAAGUGUAUAAAUUAGUGAAAAAGUUAUAUCAUAUUCUCCAAAUAUGUCAAAGAUGCCUUAGACUCAAGUACCCGUCAAUUGACCACCUAGGCGGAAGUCACUUCCCUAGUGCUCUUUUAAACCUAUUUGAAGAACUUGUAGAAUUUUAACCCUUAGCUUGAUUUACAAUUUGUAGUUUGAUAAAAGUAGAAUUAUAAGUCACUUCCCUAGUGCCUUUUAAACCUAUUUGAACAACUUGCAACAUUUUAACUCUUAGCUUAAUUUACAAUUUGUAGUUUGAUAAAAGUAGAAUUAUAAAGAAAAUCUCAAAAAUGAUGAGAAGUAUAAUUAAGAGCACAUACGCAAUCCUAAACUAGAUAGUUACUCGGUUCCAAUUCUAGCUCUCCGUGGAUUCGAUCCUGGGUAAAAACUAUUGUGACCCUCUCUUGCUUCUUAUUAGUAGUGCGGAGUUGGCAGCGAUCAUUGGUCAAACCCGACCCCCUAGACCAUGCCUCGGAAUCUGAUAAAAAUCAAGCCAAUUGAAUCUUUAUCCUUCCACGAGUCCAUGCAUACCAAGAAUACCAAAAUCCGACCACAAACAACCUCUCAAAUUCCUAAGUAUAUGUCUCUAAUUUCCAAGCCCUAAAUCCUCAAUUUUGCUACUAAUUUUCGUAGAUUUCAAGUUUAUAUAGUUAAAAACCAUCAUAGAAACAAGUUUAGGGUCCACCUGCGAUCAAAAUCCCAUAAGCGCGAUAUUUUUUACCGCAAAAGCAAUUUAGCUAGGGCAGAACAUAUAAAUUAAGUCCUUCGCAAAUUUUUGGGUAAUUCCACCAUUUUCGUAUAUGGGUUUGAGCUUGGGAGUGUAAAUUGAAGAAGGACAUCAAGAGGGUUUCGUGGAGGUAAGUUUUUGGACCCUGCGAUCAAAAUCCUGCACUUUCGUUGCUGUAGGUGCGCUUGAACCACCGCAUCUGCGAUUCUAAUCUUCUUCAACCUUGGCCGAAUCUGCAACCCUCUUUGUACUUCUGCAGGCCCGUACCUGCAUUCCCCAAGCCGCAGGUGCGGUUAUGAUAGGAACUUCAGCACCUUCAGUUGUAAAUUUCCAACUUCAAACUUCCCGUCAACCACCCGAAAUCAUCACGAGGCCUCCGGUACCUCAACCAGAAGUACGGACAAGUCAUAUACAACUAUCCAAACAUAUACCAAGCUUCGAAACACCUAAAACAACGUCAAAUUAACAAAAUAAUAUUGGAUUCAAGCCUAAGGUUUUUAAACAAUUUUGAAUUUCGCUUUUAAUAAAAAAAGUCUAUUAAACCUCGUCCGAAUGAACCUGAAAUUUCAAAACACAUCACAUAUGAAACAACGGACCUACUGCAGCUUUUGAAAUUCCAUUUGGACCCCUAUAUCAAAAUCUCCGCUACCAAUCGGGAAACGUCAAAAUUUUAAUUUCGCUAGUCCAAGCCUAAAUCUACUCCGGACCACCAAAUUACAUUCUGAUCACGCUCCUAAGUCCCAAGUCAUCUAAUGAAACUAUCUGAAUCAUAAAAAUCCGAUUCUAAGAUCGUUUACUCAAAAGUCAACUUCCAAUUGGCUUUUCCAACAAAAGGCUAACUUAAGAGACUAAGUGCCUCAUUUUUCUACCAAGCUACUCCGAACCCAAACUAACCAAUACUAUAACACAUAAUACAGCUGAGCAAGACAUAUAAAAGCAUAAAAUGGAAAAAAAGAGCGCUAACUCAAGAAACGAGCGGCUGGGUCGUUACAUUUUAUCUACGUAUUUUACUUACAAUUAAAAUAACUUUAUCUUAUUUUAUUUAUAAUAUAUCCAUACAUUUAAUAUUUUCAUGGAACUCAACUUAUUUAAUCAUAUUUUAAACAUGAACAUAUUUUAAAUAUAAAAUUAAUAAAAAAUAUUUAUUUUAUUUAUUUAUUUGAAAUAAUAAAAAUAGAUUUGUGUAACUAAUGAUAGUUUUCUAUAGUUAAUAAUAAAUUUAGUUAAAGUUUCAAAAAUAUUUUUGCUUAAUAUUAAGUUUUUUAAAGUGUUAUCUGUUGAUAUUAUUUAUUUGAAUGUAUUAAUCCGGUGUGACGUUGUACUAAAUGUAAGUAUUUUAUUUAUUGAAUUAAUGGGUAUAGCUUGGCUGAUAAAUCAACGAGCUUUGAUUUUAUAAUUUUCAUUAAUAAUAUUUCACUAAGCAUGAUUAAGAACAUGGACUUGAGAUUUAUUCAUGUUAAUGUUAUCGACAAAUUAAUAAUGCUACUUAUAUAUUUAGAAAAUUAAUGUUAAGAAAAAAUUAGAUAUAUGAAUAUAAUAUAAAAUAUAAAUAAAAUAAUAUUAAAUUGUUUUAAUUAUAAGUACAAUGCAUGUGUAAAAGUAUAUUAUAAAGCAUAUAACAUAGAAGGUGUUUCAUAAAUGGGAGGAUCGAUAAUAUCAAGGGCAUAUAGACUUUUGAGGUUAAAGGUUUGUAAAAUUUAAUCAAAGUGAUUAUUGUAAUAACUAAGAGUAUAGUAAAAUAAUUUUUGUGUAAUUAAAGAAAGAAAAAAGACUUUUGAAUAAUGAUAAAAAAACUAAACAACUUUUACGUAACAAAAGAAAGAAAAAUAACUUUUGGAUAAUGAAUAUAAAUUUAAAUAACCACCCAUUAAAUUUAUUCUAUGUAGUAUAUAUAAUAAUACAUUCUCUGCCCCUAAGUUUUUUAUGAAGAAUGCUAUUGUAAGUCUUCAAGCAAGGACAUGUUCCUUCUUCCAAAAAGAGAAUGUGAAGAUAUCGGAUGUGUUGAUUUAUAAGUAGCUUAUUAAAAAGAAUUGGUUAAUUCAAAAAAUAAUAUCAAUAUUAAUAAUUAGUUAUUUGUAGUUGGAAAAGGUUAAAUUUUUGCUUUCUUUCGAGUGGGUGUUAUUAUAAUAGACUCGGUACAUUUAAGGAGUUUGAAUCUCCGUUUUGAGAUGGUUUAGUUGAGUUUUGAGGUGGUUUAAAUUGAAAAAUCUAAGUAGAAGAUGAACAUGAAAAAUAAUAAUAUGUGUAUCACACUGUGUAUUAUUCGUAUAUCAAAUAUGUAUCACAUGUAUAUCUAUAUAUACAUGCGUGAGAUACAUGCAUAACAAAUGUUUGAAAAUGUGUCGCAAAAGAAUUUUCUGAACUCUAUUUUAACUACGAGUUUUGAUGUCACAUCAAUCCAAAUCAACUCUAAUUUUUAUCAAAUUUUGUAUAUUAAACCAUCGAUGUGUUUUCAAUUUAUUUCAACCAUAUCCGUUGAAAAUAGACUUUUUACUUAGUUUUUUGGAAUUGUGUGUCUUUAUUUUUUUACUUUUUUUGUAUUACAUCAUCUUAUUUGCUACUUCAUUCAUGAAAUUCUUUUGGUCUUGCAUUUAAUAUUGUUAAUCACGCUUAAAAAUAUGGAAGGAGAUAUUUGUGUAUGAUUCUUGGAGACAAAAGACUUCAUUUAAUUGGGUUUUUAAUUUUUAUGUAUUUGAUUAGUUUUGAUAAGUCCAUAAUUAAUAGCUAGAGGCUAGUAAGUUGGGACUUAUUUAAGAUAUUUAUGUAAGGUUCCAAAGAAGGUAUAAUUUUGGAAAAUUUCAUUAUUUUAUAAAGAACACAUGAGUACUCGGGCCUCAAUUCUCGAGUAAAAGGGAAAAAAAAGUUUAAGAGACAACUAAAUUUUAGGGAAAUUAUCAUAUAUACAUAUGUUAUAAGUGUAAAUUUCAUAAUAUACAAUUACAAUUGAAAUCGCGUUUUGUACAAUAUUUGUUUUCAUUUCAUAAAAUUAAAUAUAUACAACUAGUAUUCAAAAUAUGGUAGAAUUCCUAAAAUUAAGGAAACUGACUUAUUGUCAAAUCAAUUCAAGCGUAAAAAAUAUCCAUUUAGUUAAAUCUUCUUUUUUUGGUAAUUAAAUUUUUUCAUUAUCAAGGAAAAUAUUUCUGUACAAAACAAAUAACCCCUAAAAGUUUGGGAAAUAACAAAUAUUUCGUAAAGAACAAAAUAAAAAAGUCAUUAUGAUCCCGAGAUCUACAACCACCUAAACUACUCCGAUUUGGAGAAGAAGGAAUCAAGCUAUGAAUAAUAAUUCAUUUAUUUAAAUAUUAAUUAACCAAUUAUUAAGAGAUAUCAUAUGCCAUUUUAAAAUUUUCCCGUCCCUUUGUAGAUCUCUUUUGAGCUUUUUGCUGUUGUUUGUUAAUAACCAUAUUUAUCACCUUCAUAGUUUUUCACAUUUUCCAACUUUUCGCUCAUGCUUUUUUCCAUCUCUCAUAUCCAUUAUCAUCUUCACAAUGCUUAUUUGCUUGCGCGCGCUUUCUCUCUCUAUAUAUAACAUGUACAAACAUUAAUUAACAUUUUGGCAACAAUUCAAUCUACCUUGAAUUUAUGAUAUACUGUAUAUAGUAUAUAAUAUAUGCUGUAUUAUUAUAUAGUAAUUGCGGGAGAAGAGAAAUUUUGUGAUAAGAUACACAAUAAAGGAAUUUGAUCAGAAUGGUUCCUACUCUAUUACAAUUAAUUCCAGUAAAGUAAGCUGGUGUAGUGUUUCAUAAGAUAUCAUACGCCGAGUGCUUGGAGCUUGUUAUGUAUUUCAGAAGAUGAAUCCGUAUGUUUCAUUAUGCACUCUUAAUCCACUUUAUGUUACGUUAUUGCCUGGAUAACUGUGACACAAUCUUAUUAUUCUAAUACAAAUGAAGGAGAUGACUAGUGAAAGAAGAACGUCAGCGAGAUCAAGAGAUAGAAGAUAUAUUUAGUUGAGAGAGAAUCUUAAGAGAGAUAUAUUAUGUAUGAUGUAUAUUUUAGUGAGAGAAUCUCAAGAGAGAUAUAUUAG
rnacentral:lncRNA from 1 species